UUAUAGCCCAAAUAAGGUGUUGACGAACGCACAUGUGAAGUCUAUAUAUAUAUAUAUAUAGACUUCACAUGUGCGUUCGUCAACACCUUAUUUGGGCUAUUUACUUCCAAUC
rnacentral:pre_miRNA from 1 species